rnacentral:rRNA from 1 species
UACAGAGGGUGCAAGCGUUGUUCGGAAUUAUUGGGCGUAAAGCGAGUGUAGGCGGUUAUCUAAGUCUGAUGUGAAAGCCCAGGGCUCAACCCUGGAAGUGCGUUGGAUACUGGAUAACUAGAGGGCGAUAGAGGAGAUCGGAAUUAAUGGUGUAGGGGUGAAAUCCGUAGAUAUCAUUAGGAACACCGAAAGCGAAGGCUGAUCUCUGGGUCGCAACUGACGCUAAGACUCGAAAGCAUGGGUAGCAAACAGG